rnacentral:tRNA from 1 species
GCGCGGGUGCUGUAACUGGUAGCCAGGCUGCCUUGAGGUGGCAGUGCUCUUACGAGCGUGGAGGUUCGAGUCCUCUCCCGCGCA